CUUGUCCACAGGAGUCUGAUGCCAGCCAGCUCCCCUGAGGGAAGCCACCAAAGUGCCUUUGAGGAUUGGUGCCUGGCCCUCUGGGCAAGAGGGUCAGGGGACACACAGUGGGACCGGAACCUUCCAGGAAGUCUCCUCAGCCACCAAGUAGCAGAUACUACCAUGAUGCCAACCUGAAUCCCCACCAGAGACACACAGGCUGGGAGUAUGGAUUGACCUAUCACUGUCCAUGUUCCCACAGGGAUAAAGAAUAGGAAAGCUUCCAAUGGAAGGGAUGUGGAACUCUGGUAGUGGGCACUGUACCCCUCUUAUCCUACCGUCUUGUCGGUCAGUAUUAAAUUAUUUUUUAAAAAGUA